UGCUGACAUUGACUUGGUCUGAAGAGCCUGCAAUCUGUUUGAUCAUACUCUGUUUUGCGAAAACCAUGCAAGCAGUCCUCGUAGCUUAUACUAGCUAAUUAGAAACUCCCUUCGGACGAUUCUCGUAUUAGAAAAUCAUGAAAUGAAUGUGUUUGGCACUCACUAUAACAAAGUCAGAGCAGUUAGCUUAUCUCAUUCUCAAGAAAAUCACAAAUGUUUCUCGAACUCAACUCGGUUCUGCAUCUUCUACACAGG
rnacentral:lncRNA from 1 species